rnacentral:rRNA from 1 species
AUGAGUGGAGUUCCAUCCACCAUGUUGCAACUAUCGUGCUGUCCCUCGACCAGCACGUGUUCUUCGUGCCAGGGACCGCCAGGAAGGAACAUCCCACCCCCACGUUUGACAGCAACGACCCACAGGACAUGCUGCGAUUCCUAUAAAGCAAGCCCAUCAAUUUCCUUCCUCCAACCAGCACAACACCCGAUCGAUCAAAGCAGAGCUUCCUCUCCCCACCGCGAGUUCGCGAGGCCUGCAGAGCGUACAGGGCCAUUGAUCGAUCAAGCGGCAAGAAUGGCGGCGACUGGGAGCGCUAAGAGCCGACGGUUCGCCGCGGCGUGCGGCGUUCUCAGUCGCUGCAUUAAGGCGGCGGAGACGCGGCCGGUGGCUCUCCCCCUCAUGCCCGGAGCGGAAGUGCCCGCGCAAGACGAGCACGCGGUGGGUCCUGCGCCGGAGCACGCGCAGAUGACCAUCUUCUACGGCGGGCGGGUGCUGGUGCUGGACGAGGUCCCGGCUGACAAGGCCGCCGAGCUGCUCCGUGUCGCUGCUGUCUCAGGCACAGCGCGAGGGAGCUGCGAGGCGGAAGAUGGCGACCUGCCCAUGGCGAGGAAGGCGUCGCUGCAGCGGUUCAUGGAGAAGCGGAGAAGCGUAAGGGGAGGCUCGCCGCGCGCGCAGUCCCCUACAGCCGGCCCGACGGCGACGCCUUCUCCUGUAACGGUCUCACGCUUACGCUCUGAUUCGUGUUCAUGCGUAGUACAGUAG